UACAGGAGGUCCCAAGCGUUUGUUCGGAUUCACUGGGCGUAAAGGGUGCGUAGGUGGCCAGGUAAGUUUGGUGUGAAAGCUCGGAGCUUAACUCCGAAAAGUCAUUGAAUAGCUAUCUGGCUGGAGGGUCGGAGGGGAGACUGGAAUUCGUCGGUGUACGCAGUGAAAUGCGUAGAUAUCGAGAGGAACACCAGUGGCGAAGGCGAGUCUCUGGACGACUCCUGACAACUGAGGGCACGGAAAGCUAGGGGAGCAAACAGG
rnacentral:rRNA from 1 species